AAAAGCAAACGGUCCUUUGGCAAUAUCUUUUGUUCAUAAUUCGGUUAAUAUAUGAUUUGAAAGUGUAUGAAAAUUAAUGUUUCAAAAUUUGGUUAUUACAAAAUUAAAGUGGCGAGGGUCAAUAUGACAACGGAGGAUUUUGUGGUGGACAGAAGACGAGUAAGACUUCUCCACUAGUUCAUGAUGCGAAAAAACGCUGCCUCCUUUGAUUCCAUUCAUCCCUUUUACGAGCAGCCCAAUUGACUAAAUUAAACAGACCAACUUCUAGAAAGUUCUAAGACGAGAUAGUCUGACCUCAGUCAAACCAUUCUUUAUACGCGGUUUAUGAUUUAGAAGCAUCAAAAUACACACAUAUGAUAUAUGCAUGGGCAGUUUGCUCGUAUAAACGAGGCUGCUUCCUCUGAAUCCACAUUCCAUAAGAAAACGUUAGGUUAAAGUAUAUAUUCGAUUUCU
rnacentral:lncRNA from 1 species